AUUGAACGCUGGCGGCAGGCCUAACACAUGCAAGUCGAGCGGAUGAAGGGAGCUUGCUCCUGGAUUCAGCGGCGGACGGGUGAGUAAUGCCUAGGAAUCUGCCUGGUAGUGGGGGAUAACGUCCGGAAACGGGCGCUAAUACCGCAUACGUCCUGAGGGAGAAAGUGGGGGAUCUUCGGACCUCACGCUAUCAGAUGAGCCUAGGUCGGAUUAGCUAGUUGGUGGGGUAAAGGCCUACCAAGGCGACGAUCCGUAACUGGUCUGAGAGGGUGAUCAGUCACACUGGAACUGAGACACGGUCCAGACUCCUACGGGAGGCAGCAGUGGGGAAUAUUGGACAAUGGGCGGAAGCCUGAUCCAGCCAUGCCGCGUGUGUGAAGAAGGUCUUCGGAUUGUAAAGCACUUUAAGUUGGGAGGAAGGGCAGUAAGUUAAUACCUUGCUGUUUUGACGUUACCAACAGAAUAAGCACCGGCUAACUUCGUG
rnacentral:rRNA from 1 species